rnacentral:rRNA from 1 species
UACGGGGGGGGCAAGCGUUGUUCGGAAUUACUGGGCGUAAAGGGUUUGUAGGUGGCUUGCUAAGUCAGACGUGAAAUCCCUCAGCUUAACUGGGGAACUGCGCUUGAGACUGGCACGCUCGAGUUCGGGAGAGGAUGGUGGAAUUCCCAGUGUAGAGGUGAAAUUCGUAGAUAUUGGGAAGAACACCGAUGGCGAAGGCAGCCAUCUGGACCGACACUGACGCUGAGGCGCGAAAGCGUGGGGAGCAAACAGG